UACGUAGGUGGCAAGCGUUGUCCGGAUUUACUGGGCGUAAAGAGCGCGCAGGCGGCCAAGUCAGUCGAAUGUGAAAGCCCCCGGCUCAACUGGGGAGGGUCAUUCGAUACUGCUCGGCUCGAAGACAGGAGAGGGAAGUGGAAUUCCCGGUGUAGUGGUGAAAUGCGCAGAUAUCGGGAGGAACACCAAUGGCGAAGGCAGCACUCUGGGACGGUACUGACGCUGAGACGCGAAAGCGUGGGGAGCGAACAGG
rnacentral:rRNA from 1 species